UGCUCCUCCUGUUUUGUCUCUUUUGCACACACCCACCUGCCCUUCCACUUUCCUGCAUGAGUUGAAGCAGCAUGAGAAGCCAAGCAGAUGCCAAAACCAUGCUAUGGACUUCCCAGCCUCCAGAACUGUGUUAUUCAAAUAAAGACUUCUCAGAAACAUUCAGAAAAGCAGCUAGACCUGGAUAUGGCCCAAUGGGUGGACCUCUGAGCCUGCAAGCCUAGGAGAUAAUUCCAGGGUGAAAAUCCUUGCACUGAGAAUGUAUUGGCUUUUGUCUCAGUUGGGAAAAUCCUGCUAAUGCACUGCAAGAAGUUGAUGACUCAGGAAGCUGCCAUUUCUACUAUUGAUCGCCUGAGUCCUGGACACCUGUCUUCGUUGUAAUACCACCUGCUCCAUCUAGAAGGCAAAAGGUGAAUCAGGAUGUUAUUGCUUCUAAAGAAUCAUC